rnacentral:tRNA from 1 species
GGGUGGCCAAUCCGAUGGUUGGCGACGGAAUCGGUCUUGAAAACCGCCGAGCUAGAGAUAGCCUUUGGAGUUCGAUCCUCCAGCCACCCGCCA